rfam:Schistosoma margrebowiei strain Zambia genome assembly, scaffold: SMRZ_contig0000230
AUCCAGCUAACGAGUCCUAAAUGGGACGAAACGAACGUCCUGGAU